rnacentral:lncRNA from 10 species
UGCAGAAUACUAAAAAGGACUCUAGGCUGGGCAUAGUAGCUCAUGCCUGUAGUCCCAGUUACUCAGAGGCUGAAGCAGGAGGAUGGCUUGAGCCCGGUGUAUGAGGCUGCAGUGAGCCAGGAUAGCACCACUGUACUCUAGCUGGGUGAUAGAGGAAGACUGUCACCAAAAAAAAAAAAAAAAAAAAAAGGACUCUAGAGGCCAGAAAGUUUCUUCUCCUGGCAGAGCCUCCUCCCUGCCCCUACUUCCCCUGGAGAGCAGCUCCUUCCAGAAGGCCCACCCAGAGGUGGGUUCAGUACCCCUCGUGGUCCUCAAAUUGCACACUGGGGCUGCUUUUGCCUUGUCAUUUAUCACUCUGCACUGAAAUGGCCAGGAGUCUGCUUCCCGCAGGGGACCGUGAGUCUCUUGGAGGUAGGGGCUGGGUUCAGUAAGUGUCUGUAAAAUGAAUAGGGUCCUCACUGGGGCUUCUCUUGUGUCUGACUUAGUCAUCAUCACCUCGAGCACCCUCACAUUCCACUGAGGCAGAGCCUUGGCACUGCCAUUUGAUGAACUGCCAGGGUGGUGUAAAAUGUCUAGAAUGUCCAUCUUCUGUGUCAUGGGGAAGAGACAGACCUUGAGCGAGGGCUACAACCUCAAAUCAGGGCUGCAUGGCCACUUGCCACCUGGGCACUCUGGGCCUACCUCCAGAUAUUGCAGGCCACACCCCUGCCAGGUAGGAAAGGAGCCAUUUUAUUUUCCUGCUCUCAGAGGUUACGAAACCAACCAAGCAAGGCAAGUCGGCCAUCAGGCUCAGCCUCCCAUGAAGCGCUCCUGACUUCCCACCCUUCCUCCAGGCCAGGAGUCUGCCAAUCACAAUCUGGGUUCUGUUUUCCCGCCUUUCCUGGCAGCACAAACCACGGCUCCGGAUGGUGAGCAAUGCAAGUUCCAGGCAUGCCUUGCUGCAUUACUGGGUUCCCAGGUGUCACUUCAUCCAGAGGAGCCCCUCUAGAGAUCCCACCACUCCGCCCUCUUGGAAAGAACAUUCAGUGUCUCCCACACCAGAACCCAUCCAAGGAGAGAGGAUGCCGAGGUAGUGGCUCAUCUUCCUUGGUCCCAGAGAGGCCUCGGAGCAGUCCUCUCUUGCUUCACAGCCCUCCAACUAUGCUAAGAAUGCGAACCAUUUCCCAUGGGACUGGCAAAGCCAUGAAGCAAUUCUGAGCCCAACCUCCCCAAAUAUCUGCUUUGCAAACAGAUAAAACAGAGAAGUAUCCUGAAAAUGUGCUGUUGGGCCAUUCACCUUAGGCGGUUGUGGUGUCUGCUUGCCUGCCAGGAGGGUUUCUGCUUCCACAGUCCAGCCUGGAGCUGCUGGGGAGCCAGUUUGGGAUGUGGCCAUGUUCCCUGAGGGGCAAAACACAGAAAACUCUCCGGAAGGGGCUUCUCAAGGAAAUGGGGACCAAGCAAGGCUGUGGGCUCUUUUCAGGGAUCCGGCUCCCAUCCCAGUGCUGGACUCAUUGCUGACCAGUCCUUGGGGUCACCUGGGUGCCCUUUGGCUCCUGAGAUGUCUGGGCAUGGGGCUGCCUUCACCAGCUGCAAGAGCCCAAACCCACCUCAACCAGCCUUUGGCAUCUCCAGUCUGCACCAGCUGCAAUUUUGUGGCCCGGGUGGGUGAAGGCAGUGGCAGGGGAGUCCAUGCCAAGCCUGGCAGUGGGAAGGAAGAGGAAGAGGAAGAGGACUUAACUUUCUCAGCAGCUUCAGCCUUCUGAGAAACUCUAGAAUGCCUUGCUGCACUAUGGCAGGCAUAACCAGGUCCCGGUGACCUACAUAACCUUCCAGACAUGGGGCAAGUGGGAGCCCUGAUUCAUGUCAGGGGAGCCUGACAGAGGAAGGGUGGGGGCAGGGAGGAUUUACAAUCCUGAGACGGUGAAACCACCUAAAUAUUUAGUGAUGACUAAGUGAGUCACCGCAUGUCCACAGGGUGGAAUAUUAUGUAAAA